rnacentral:tRNA from 1 species
GGGCGGUUAGCUCAGUUGGUUAGAGCAUCGCGUUGACAUCGCGAAGGUCGUAGGUUCGAGCCCUAUACCGCCCACCU